rnacentral:lncRNA from 1 species
AUAAAAUAUAUUAGAGAAGUUGAUUUGAGAUGUUCUUUCUUUUAUACCUAUAAUAAAUAUACAUUAAAGGGGGUAAAAAGAAUUUUCUAACUAAAAAAUAUAGAGAAAAAAAGAACAAAGAUAUGCAUUUGACUUCUAACUAACCUUAUAAAUGAAACCACCAAAAAAUAUGAGCAGUGAUGCAGAAAAUCAGUUUGUGGUCAAAUCAGAAAUAAACCACGCAAAGAAGAACCAGAAGCUACUAUUAAUUGGUCAAAGUUCUUUUGGCUUUUCUAAUAUUUUCAUUUAAUUUUCCAUGUUGAGAAUGAAUGUUAGUAUUAUUAAUGAGUGUUAAGUCUAGCACCAGUGUUCGUUGAAGGACAAUAUUUGCAGGAAGUUGCCUUCAAUCUACCAUCAUAAGGGAAAAAACAUGAGAAGAAAUAACAAACUUUUGGUGGCAUAUUAAUUAUGGAACUUUAAUCCUAGUGUGGCUGGUGAAUGAGCUGUCUCUGUACAAACUCAUGAACAUGAUGAUCAGAAAAUAGGAUGCCAAAUGCAACGGCUAAAGACUAUAGACUCUAACUGCUACAUUCAUUUCCUCAUUAAAUGCCUCACUCAGUAACAUCUUUCAUGUCUUAUAUAUUUCUAAUUUAGUUUUUCUUACUCAUUUCUUUCAGUAACACUGAUGUUUUGUUGCCAU